GGAGAUUUAGCUCAGUGGUAGAGCACUUGCCUAGCAAGCGCAAGGCCCUGGGUUCGAUCCCCAGCUCCG
rnacentral:tRNA from 1 species